GAGUUUGAUCGUGGCUCAGAUUGAACGCUGGCGGCACGCCUAACACAUGCAAGUCGAGCGGUAACAUGGUGUGUAGCAAUACACAUUGAUGACGAGCGGCGGACGGGUGAGGAACACGUAGGAACUUACCUUUUAGAGGGGGAUAACUAAGGGAAACUUUAGCUAAUACCGCGUAAUGUCGAAAGACCAAAGCUGCCGCAAGGUGGCGCUAAAAGAGAGGCCUGCGUCCGAUUAGCUAGUUGGUGGGGUAAAGGCCUACCAAGGCGAUGAUCGGUAACUGGUCUGAGAGGACGACCAGUCACAUUGGGACUGAGACACGGCCCAAACUCCUACGGGAGGCAGCAGUGGGGAAUCUUGGACAAUGGGGGCAACCCCUGAUCCAGCGAUGCCGCGUGGGUGAAGAAGGGCCUUCGGUUGUUAAG
rnacentral:rRNA from 1 species